rnacentral:rRNA from 1 species
AAGGCCCUUCGGGGUACUCGAGUGGCGAACGGGUGAGUAACACGUGGGUGAUCUGCCCUGCACUUUGGGAUAAGCCUGGGAAACUGGGUCUAAUACCGAAUAUGACCAUGCUCUUCAUGGAGUGUGGUGGAAAGCUUUUGCGGUGUGGGAUGGGCCCGCGGCCUAUCAGCUUGUUGGUGGGGUAAUGGCCUACCAAGGCGACGACGGGUAGCCGGCCUGAGAGGGUGACCGGCCACACUGGGACUGAGAUACGGCCCAGACUCCUACGGGAGGCAGCAGUGGGGAAUAUUGCACAAUGGGCGCAAGCCUGAUGCAGCGACGCCGCGUGAGGGAUGACGGCCUUCGGGUUGUAAACCUCUUUCAAUAGGGACGAAGCGCAAGUGACGGUACCUAUAGAAGAAGGACCGGCCAACUACGUGCCAGCAGCCGCGGUAAUACGUAGGGUCCGAGCGUUGUCCGGAAUUACUGGGCGUAAAGAGCUCGUAGGUGGUUUGUCACGUUGUUCGUGAAAACUCACAGCUUAACUGUGGGCGUGCGGGCGAUACGGGCAGACUAGAGUACUGCAGGGGAGACUGGAAUUCCUGGUGUAGCGGUGGAAUGCGCAGAUAUCAGGAGGAACACCGGUGGCGAAGGCGGGUCUCUGGGCAGUAACUGACGCUGAGGAGCGAAAGCGUGGGGAGCGAACAGGAUUAGAUACCCUGGUAGUCCACGCCGUAAACGGUGGGUACUAGGUGUGGGUUUCCUUCCUUGGGAUCCGUGCCGUAGCUAACGCAUUAAGUACCCCGCCUGGGGAGUACGGCCGCAAGGCUAAAACUCAAAGAAAUUGACGGGGGCCCGCACAAGCGGCGGAGCAUGUGGAUUAAUUCGAUGCAACGCGAAGAACCUUACCUGGGUUUGACAUGCACAGGACGCCAGUAGAGAUAUUGGUUCCCUUU